UACGAGGGGGGCAAGCGUUGUUCGGAAUUAUUGGGCGUAAAGAGCGUGUAGGCGGCCAGACAAGUCUGCUGUGAAAACUCGAGGCUCAACCUCGAGACGCCGAUGGAAACCAUUUGGCUAGAGUCCGGAAGAGGAGAGUGGAAUUCCUGGUGUAGCGGUGAAAUGCGCAGAUAUCAGGAAGAACACCCGUGGCUAAGGCGGCUCUCUAGUACGGUACUGACGCUGAGACGCGAAAGCGUGGGGAGCGAACAGG
rnacentral:rRNA from 1 species